GUCAUAGACCAUUGCCAAGGCUUCAGUUAUACCUGACACCAACCGCAGUGUGUGCUCAGCAUUAAUUAUUCUGGAGUAGGUUCUAGCAGGUUAAGACAGAAACUUACCUGACAUCAGCAAUUCUCCAGACUUGAGCCAUGAAGCACAAAAGAAGAAAGAAGCACCUUGAACUCUCACUGUUAGAACAAGCUGAACAGAGAUUCAGAGCCCGGAGCUGCCCUGGCUCCACCUCAUUACCUCCCGCAUUCCGCGUCCACAGCACGCGUGACGCCAAAAUGUGGAAGCAGACGGAGCUUCAGCAGUGCGGACGGCAGUGCCCCACCUUCCCGGCACUCGUCCCCCACCUUUUCCUCAAAAUGUGCUUUGGAAGGACUUCGACAUAUUCUCUCCUGCUUUUUUUUUUUUUUUUUUUUUUAGAGCAGUGAAGGCAGCCUUUCCCCAUGUUACCCCCAAUAAACUUAUGAGCACUUAUUUGGCUUGAACUGAAAAUGAUUGAGGAAAAGAUAUGUAACUCCAUGACUGAAACCAAAAAGUAACUCAAACCCAGUCUUUGGCUUCUCUAAGGUGGUGAACAUGGAGGUUCACAAAUAUAUGGAGUCAUACUAAGAAGGGAGGUAGAAGAUGUAUGUAGAGGGGUC